GGCUCCAUGAAUCUCAUCUGCAGGAAGAUGAAUCCACUGUGGUUCUUUCUCUUCGUGGUGUCAGCGCCCAGAGGUGUCCUGUCCCAGGUGCAGCUGCAGGAGUCGGGACCCAGCCUGGUGACGCCCUACCAGACCCUCUCCCUCACCUGCACCGUCUCUGGAGACUCAUUAUCCAACUUUAAUGUCGACUGGGUCCGACAGCCUCCAGGAAAAGGGCUGGAGUGGCUUGGUGAGAUCAUUUAUAAAGGAAACACGUAUUAUAACCCAAGUCUUAAGUCCCGGCUCAGCAUCACCAGGGACACGUCCAAGAACCAAGUCUACUUAUCACUGAGCAGCCUGACAACUGAAGACACAGCCGUGUAUUACUGUGUGAGAGACACACAGUGAGGGGAAGUCAGUGCGAGCCCAGACACGAACCUCCCUGCACGGAGGCCUUUAACCAGCAGGGGGCGCACAGGACCCAACAGCUUGUCACCCAUGAGGAGCUCUUUCAGAUUGUCUCCUGCAUCCCCUUUACAAGCCCCCAACCAUUUGUGUCAACACCUCCUUACUUUCUGGUGAUACCAGAAUCUGCGGGAUAA